rnacentral:rRNA from 1 species
UACGAAGGGGGCUAGCGUUGUUCGGUUUUACUGGGCGUAAAGCGCGGGUAGGCGGGUCGUUAAGUUGGGGGUGAAAGCCCGGAGCGCAACUCCGGAACUGCCUUCAAAACUGGCGACCUGGAGCAUGUCAGAGGCGAGUGGAAUUGCGAGUGUAGAGGUGAAAUUCGUAGAUAUUCGCAGGAACACCAGUGGCGAAGGCGGCUCGCUGGGACAUUGCUUACGCUGAGACGCGAAAGCGUGGGGAGCAAACAGG